CCUACGGGAGGCAGCAGUGGGGAAUUUUGGGCAAUGGAGGCAACUCUGACCCAGCAAUGCCGCGUGAAUGAUGAAGGUCUUCGGAUUGUAAAGUUCUUUUCUAAGGGAAGAAGAAAGUGACGGUACCUUAGGAAUAUGCCUCGGGUAACUACGUGCCAGCAGCCGCGGUAAUACGUAGGAGGCAAGCGUUAUCCGGAAUGACUGGGCGUAAAGGGUGCGUAGGUGGUUCGGCAAGUUGGUAGCGAAACUCUGGCGCUCAACUUGGGAACUACUCCCAAAACUGGUGGACUCGAGUGCGGGAGGGGGGACUGGAAGUUCUAGUGUAGCAGUGGAAUGCGUAGAUAUUAGGAAGAACACCGGUGGCGAAGGCGAGUUGCUGGAAUGUAACUGACACUGAGACACGAAAGCGUGGGGAGCAAACAGGAUUAGAUACCCCAGUAGUC
rnacentral:rRNA from 1 species